rnacentral:rRNA from 1 species
UCAAUAGGGACGAAGCGCAAGUGACGGUACCUAUAGAAGAAGGACCGGCCAACUACGUGCCAGCAGCCGCGGUAAUAGGUAGGGUCCGAGCGUUGUCCGGAAUUACUGGGCGUAAAGAGCUCGUAGGUGGUUUGUCGCGUUGUUCGUGAAAACUCACAGCUUAACUGUGGGCGUGCGGGCGAUACGGGCAGACUAGAGUACUGCAGGGGAGACUGGAAUUCCUGGUGUAGCGGUGGAAUGCGCAGAUAUCAGGAGGAACACCGGUGGCGAAGGCGGGUCUCUGGGCAGUAACUGACGCUGAGGAGCGAAAGCGUGGGGAGCGAACAGGAUUAGAUACCCUGGUAGUCCACGCCGUAAACGGUGGGUACUAGGUGUGGGUUUCCUUCCUUGGGAUCCGUGCCGUAGCUAACGCAUUAAGUACCCCGCCUGGGGAGUACGGCCGCAAGGCUAAAACUCAAAGAAAUUGACGGGGGCCCGCACAAGCGGCGGAGCAUGUGGAUUAAUUCGAUGCAACGCGAAGAACCUUACCUGGGUUUGACAUGCACAGGACGCCAGUAGAGAUAUUGGUUCCCUUGUGGCCUGUGUGCAGGUGGUGCAUGGCUGUCGUCAGCUCGUGUCGUGAGAUGUUGGGUUAAGUCCCGCAACGAGCGCAACCCUUAUCUUAUGUUGCCAGCGCGUAAUGGCGGGGACUCGUGAGAGACUGCCGGGGUCAACUCGGAGGAAGGUGGGGAUGACGUCAAGUCAUCAUGCCCCUUAUGUCCAGGGCUUCACACAUGCUACAAUGGCCGGUACAAAGGGCUGCGAUGCCGUGAGGUGGAGCGAAUCCUUUCAAAGCCGGUCUCAGUUCGGAUCGGGGUCUGCAACUCGACCCCGUGAAGUCGGAGUCGCUAGUAAUCGCAGAUCAGCAACGCUGCGGUGAAUACGUUCCCGGGCCUUGUACACACCGCCCGUCACGUCAUGAAAGUCGGUAACACCCGAAGCCGGUGGCCUAACCCUU